CACGUAGGGCGCAAGCGUUGUCCGGAAUUAUUGGGCGUAAAGAGCUCGUAGGUGGUUUGUUACGUCUGCUGUGAAAACCUAGGGCUUAACCCUGGGCUUGCAGUGGAUACGGGCAGACUAGAGGUAGGUAGGGGAGAAUGGAAUUCCUGGUGUAGCGGUGGAAUGCGCAGAUAUCAGGAGGAACACCGGUGGCGAAGGCGGUUCUCUGGGCCUUACCUGACACUGAGGAGCGAAAGCGUGGGGAGCGAACAGG
rnacentral:rRNA from 1 species